UACGGGGGGAGCAAGCGUUGUUCGGAUUUACUGGGCGUAAAGGGCGCGUAGGCGGUCGUGACAAGUCACUUGUGAAAUCUCCGGGCUUAACUCGGAACGGUCAAGUGAUACUGUCGGACUAGAGUACAGAAGGGGCAACUGGAAUUCUCGGUGUAGCGGUGAAAUGCGUAGAUAUCAGGAGGAACACCGGUGGCGAAGGCGGGUCUCUGGGCAGUAACUGACGCUGAGGAGCGAAAGCGUGGGGAGCGAACAGG
rnacentral:rRNA from 1 species